UAUUUUCUGGUUUUGGGAGGCUUGACCCUGUUGAGGCUGCUGUUGAGAUUGCAAGUUUGGUGGCUGUGUGUUGUAAUGAGCAAAGGGUUGCGAGUAGAGAGAAUUCAUCAAGCCCUGGGACUGAAGUGGAUUUGGAUUGGCUAUGCCGAAGUGACUCUGUGAUGCAUCAUCUUGAGGGGGAUCAUUGAAGCCAAUCUGAGUGAACAGUCCCUGUGAACCAUGAGUCAUGUAGUCCUGCUGAGACAUGAAAUCAUUUCCAGAACCAA
rnacentral:misc_RNA from 1 species